CCCGCCCUGCCCCUCUUAUGCACCGCCCUCCCCUGAGAGACUUCCCGGAAACCUGAAGCCUAGGACCAUGCGUCCCUAAGGGGAGACAGGAUUAAGAUCCUAUCCAGCCUCAGCCCCAUAGGGCAAGGAGAAAAUCUGUGGGCCCUGAAGCCGAAGGCAAGGCUCUGUCUUCCAGCAGCUUUCCACCCCCCAAUAAACCCCCACGGGGUCCACCAGGAGCUGGCAGUGCACUUGGAGACCAGACAUAUGGUGACAGGAGCAAGGGUUUUCUCUCUUCCCAACAUCCUCCCAUCGCUCAGCCCAGUUCCCUGGGGUUCAGACGGCUCAUGCUGCCAUUGGCACCUCCCCUGUUAGAAGGGAGACAGGAGGAGGUUCAGGGAGGACCCUAGAGGACAUCAAAAAGGACCGAGCUGGGCCAGGGCCAAUCCUCAACUGUCCAGGUCCCUGUAUUUUAGCCUGACCCUGACUCCUGACCCAUGUGUACUCUUGGUAUCAGAGGGUGACUCAAAUGGCUUUUGAGGCCACUCUGGGAUCUGCAUCCUGCAUCCCUCAUCAGGAUAACAUCCUACCCAAAUAUAUUGCCAACUUUUUUCCUGAGAAGCAGGGGACCAUUUCAAAACAAAGAGAGGUAUUUUGUAUAAUGAAAAAAAAAACACUGAGUGGAGAGGAAGAGAGGUUGAACAUACAAGGAGGCCUUGCUGCCCAGGACAAAGACUCUGAGCCGGGAAGACGGAGCCAGAGCACAGGAACCCUUCGGAGUAGGACCUCUCUGCAGAAGGAGAAGAAGAAAGAGUCCAGCAGGCUCUGCAAGGGGAAGGAUCAAUGUUUUGGCUUCUCCCUCCCACUCUCCUCCCAGGCCACACACUGUCUUGGGGAGUUGUCAUUGCAGGCUGUCAUUUCCAUAUCCUUCAACCAAGGCCACAGAUAUGGAGCUACACAAGCCCUUUGGAAAAAACAUCAAGAUGCCAUGUACCCCAGAUGCCAGACAUGGAGCUAUAGCACUUGUUUGCACAGAUGGAUUUCAGUCUUGCUUUGGUCCUAUCUCUUCUUUCUACAUCCCUUAUUUGUGAAUGGAAAUGUUUACUCUGUACCUUUAUAUACUGGAUACUUGUAAAUUGCUUUUAAUUUUAUAGGAGCUCACCAUGCAAGAUUGCCUUGAGCCUCAGAGAAGACUUAGGACUUGAACUUUGAGCAAUCUCAGAACUAUUGAGACUAUUGGGGACUCUUGGGAAUGAACUAACUGUAUUAUGCAUUGUCAGAUGAGUGUGGGAUUUUGGGGGCCAGGAUGGAAUGUUAUGGUUUACAUGUGGUGUCCCCCAAAAGCUCACAUGUAAGACAAUGAGAGAAGGUUCAGAGGAGAAAUGAUUGGGUUGUGAGAGUCUUAACACAAUGAAUGAAUUAAUCCCCUGAUAGAGAUUAACUGAGUAGUAAGUGAAGUGGUGGGGUGUGGCUGGAGGAGGUGGGAAUUGGGGGCGUGGCUUUGGGUUUCAUAUUUGUAUCUGGCAAAUGGAGACCUCUCUCUCUGCUUCCUGAUCACCAUGUGAGCUGAAUCCCACUGACACACUCUUCCACCAUGAUGUUCUGCUCACCUGGAGCCCUGAGGAAUGGAGCUGGCCUUUUAUGGACUAAGACCUCUGAAACCAUGAGUCCUCAAAUAAACUUUUCCUCCUAAAAUUGUUCUGGUCAGAUUUUUUUAGUCACAGCAGUGAAAAAUCUGACUAAAACAGGGAGAAAAAAAAACACCUUCAGUUAGAC